GAUGAACGCUGGCGGCGUGCCUAAUACAUGCAAGUCGAGCGAACAGAUAAGGAGCUUGCUCCUUUGACGUUAGCGGCGGACGGGUGAGUAACACGUGGGUAACCUACCUAUAAGACUGGAAUAACUCCGGGAAACCGGGGCUAUGGCGGGAUAACUUUAAGAACGGCAUGUUUCUAAAGGGAAAGUGGGUUUUGCUAUCACUAAUGAAUGAACCGCGCCGUUAUAGCUAGUUGGUAAGGUAACGGGUUACCCAGGCCACGAUACGUAGCCGACCUGAGAGGGUGAUCGGCCACACUGGAACUGAGACACGGUCCAGACUCCUACGGGAGGCAGCAGUAGGGAAUCUUCCGCAAUGGGCGAAAGCCUGACGGAGCAACGCCGCGUGAGUGAUGAAGGUCUUCGGAUCGUAAAACUCUGUUAUUAGGGAAGAACAAAUGUGUAAGUAACUGUGCACGUCUUGACGGUACCUAAUCAGAAAGCCACGGCUAACUACGUGC
rnacentral:rRNA from 1 species